rnacentral:rRNA from 1 species
AUUGAACGCUGGCGGCAUGCCUUACACAUGCAAGUCGAACGGUAACGCGGGGCAACCUGGCGACGAGUGGCGAACGGGUGAGUAAUACAUCGGAACGUGCCCAGUAGUGGGGGAUAGCCCGGCGAAAGCCGGAUUAAUACCGCAUACGACCUACGGGUGAAAGCAGGGGAUCGCAAGACCUUGCGCCAUUGGAGCGGCCGAUGUCAGAUUAGGUUGUUGGUGGGGGUAAAGGCCUACCAAGCCGACGAUCUGUAGCUGGUCUGAGAGGACGACCAGCCACACUGGGACUGAGACACGGCCCAGACUCCUACGGGAGGCAGCAGUGGGGAAUUUUGGACAAUGGGCGCAAGCCUGAUCCAGCCAUGCCGCGUGCGGGAAGAAGGCCUUCGGGUUGUAAACCGCUUUGUCAGGGAAGAAACGACUCCGGGCUAAUACCUCGGGGUAAGUGACGGUACCUGAAGAAUAAGACACCGGCUAACUACGUGCCAGCAGCCGCGGUAAU